rnacentral:rRNA from 1 species
UACGUAGGUGGCAAGCGUUGUCCGGAAUUAUUGGGCGUAAAGCGCGCGCAGGCGGUCCUUUAAGUCUGAUGUGAAAUCCCCGGGCUUAACCUGGGAAUGGCAUUUGGGACUGCAAGGCUUGAGUGCGGCAGAGGAGACUGGAAUUCCACGUGUAGCGGUGAAAUGCGUAGAGAUGUGGAGGAACACCAGUGGCGAAGGCGACUUUCUGGUCUGUAACUGACGCUGAGGCGCGAAAGCGUGGGGAGCAAACAGG